GAUGAACGCUGGCGGCAGGCCUAACACAUGCAAGUCGAGCGGAUGAAGGAAGCUGUCUCUUCGCUUCUGUGACGGACGGGUGAGUAAUGCCUAGGAAUCUGCCUGGUAGCUGGGGAUAACGUCCGGAAACGGGCGCUAAUACCACACACGUCCUGAGUUAGAAACUGAGGGAUCAUCAGACCUCACGCUAUCAGAUGUCCCUAGGUUGUGUUAGCUCGUUGGAGUGGUAAGGUCGUACCAAGGCAACGAUCCGAAACUGAUCUGAGUUGAUGAUCAGGCACACUGGAACUGAGACACGGUACAGACUCCUACGGGAGGCAGCAGUGGAGAAUAUUCGACAAUGGGCGAAAGCCUGAUCGAGCCACGCCGCGUGUGUGAAGAAGGUCUUCGGAUUGUAAAGCUCUGUUAGUUGGGAAGAAGGGCAGUGUAAGGAACCGUUGCCGUUUUGACGGUACCAAAAGAAUAAGCACCGGCUAACUUCGUG
rnacentral:rRNA from 1 species